rnacentral:rRNA from 1 species
CCUACGGGUGGCAGCAGUGAGGAAUAUUGGUCAAUGGACGAGAGUCUGAACCAGCCAAGUAGCGUGAAGGAUGACUGCCCUAUGGGUUGUAAACUUCUUUUAUAUGGGAAUAAAAUGCUCCACGUGUGGGAUUUUGUAUGUACCAUAUGAAUAAGGAUCGGCUAACUCCGUGCCAGCAGCCGCGGUAAUACGGAGGAUCCGAUCGUUAUCCGGAUUUAUUGGGUUUAAAGGGAGCGUAGGUGGUUUGUUAAGUCAGUUGUGAAAGUUUUCGGCUCAACCGUAAAAUUGCAGUUGAAACUGGCAGUCUGGAGUGGAGUGGAGGUGGGCGGAAUGCGUGGUGUAGCGGUGAAAUGCUUAGAUAUCACGAAGAACCCCGAUUGCGAAGGCAGUUCACUGGACUGCAACUGACACUGAGGCUCGAAAGUGUGGGUAUCAAACAGGAUUAGAUACCCUAGUAGUC